ensembl:lncRNA
UGUAUCCAUAGGGUGUAUCCAGACUCAACCCAUACUUCGUUCUCCAAAUGGGGGUUGGUAUAAAAGAGAUAAUUCCCCCUGUUCCAUGACAAGACGAAUGACCUGAAGUAUUACUUCAGAAAUGAGUCAAUAGGCUCAACCUGCAUGCACAGCUGGGACUAAAUACACCUCAUUCAGAUGAAUGAGAGAUUCUCCUCCACGACAUCACCUCUCCUCAUCUCCUUCCCAGCCACUUUGGCAAGUUGUGUUCUACCUCCUACUCACAGCACCAGCGGGGAGUGAGAACUGGGACUAAGAGGUUGAUUUGGGGCCUGCUACACUGUAAUCAAAUGAGACUGCUUAGGGGAGAGGAGAAGGAGGAGUCCCGGUAGCCAUGUUUCAUAAACACGGAAUGGGAAACAUCCUCAGCAUUAGAAAUUUAGAUUGCUGCUUUCCUCCUGCCACUCUGCAUUCCGCACGUGCCCGGUCGCAUUCUCCAUCUCCCAAUGCUGAGUAACCAUUUUGUCCGACAUCUGACACACUGCCCUGGGUUAUUGAGCCAGACGUGGAAAUCCAAAGCGGAGAUGCUCUCCUUAAUGCCUGACACCUGGUGCAGAUUUGGAAGGGAUUGCACUACAGGGUAUGCUUUACAAGUGGACGCUACUCUGGAGUGUUGCAGCUCACCUUACCGCUUGCAGUCACAUCUGCAGACUGUGCUGGAGCAGAAUGGCUAGCGAACAUAAACACAGCAAGGACAUCAAAGGCCGGCAGGUUGGGCUAUACCACCUGAGCAUGCUGAUUGCAGUGCAGUUCAGUAUCAUCUGACUGGUGAAAACAGAGGAUUUUGUUGCACCAAGUUGAGACAUUUAACAGAAGGUUCCAACCAGAAUUUUUUGUUUAUUUGUUUAAAAAAAUAAAAAUAAAUGAAUAAAUAAAAGCUCAAAACACAAGCC